rnacentral:rRNA from 1 species
UACGAAGGGGGCUAGCGUUGCUCGGAAUCACUGGGCGUAAAGGGUGCGUAGGCGGGUCUUUUAAGUCAGGGGUGAAAUCCUGGAGCUCAACUCCAGAACUGCCUUUGAUACUGAGGAUCUUGAGUACGGGAGAGGUGAGUGGAACUGCGAGUGUAGAGGUGAAAUUCGUAGAUAUUCGCAAGAACACCAGUGGCGAAGGCGGCUCACUGGCCCGAUACUGACGCUGAGGUGCGAAAGCGUGGGGAGCAAACAGG